AGUUAGGAAAUGUAGGUACGAUAAUACCGUGCUUAUUUGACAAAGGCUCCAAAGGAAGCCACGGCUAACUCUGUGCCAGCAGCCGCGGUAAUACAGAGGUGGCAAGCGUUGUUCGGAAUUAUUGGGCGUAAAGAGCACGUAGGUGGAUUUGUUAGUCAGAUGUGAAAGCCUUUUGUUCAACGGAAGAAUUGCAUCUGAAACUACAAACCUUGAGUAUAGGAGGGGAGAGUGGAACUUCUGGU
rnacentral:rRNA from 1 species